AGAGUUUGAUCAUGGCUCAGGAUGAACGCUGGCGGCGUGCUUAACACAUGCAAGUCGAACGAAGCAGUCCGGACUUAAUCUUCGGAAGCGGACUGGACUGACUGAGUGGCGGACGGGUGAGUAACGCGUGGGCAACCUGCCCUAUGCAGGGGGAUAACAGUUAGAAAUGACUGCUAACACCGCAUAAGCGCACAGUGCUGCAUGGCACAGUGUGAAAAUAUUUAUAGGCAUAGGAUGGGCCCGCGUCUGAUUAGCUAGUUGGCGAGGUAACGGCCCACCAAGGCGACGAUCAGUAGCCGGCUUGAGAGAGUGGACGGCCACAUUGGGACUGAGACACGGCCCAAACUCCUACGGGAGGCAGCAGUGGGGAAUAUUGCACAAUGGGGGAAACCCUGAUGCAGCGACGCCGCGUGAGUGAAGAAGUAUUUCGGUAUGUAAAGCUCUAUCAGCAGGGAAGUAGAAAUGACGGUACCUGACUAAGAAGCCCCGGCUAACUACGUGCCAGCAGCCGCGGUAAUACGUAGGGGGCAAGCGUUAUCCGGAAUUACUGGGUGUAAAGGGUGCGUAGGUGGCAUGGUAAGUCAGAUGUGAAAACCCGGGGCUCAACCCCGCGGAUUGCAUUUGAAACUAUCAAGCUGGAGUGCAGGAGAGGAAAGCGGAAUUCCUAGUGUAGCGGUGAAAUGCGUAGAUAUUAGGGAGGAACACCAGUGGCGAAGGCGGCUUUCUGGACUGUAACUGACACUGAGGCACGAAAGCGUGGGAGCAAACAGGAUUAGAUACCCUGGUAGUCACGCCGUAAA
rnacentral:rRNA from 1 species